UCGUGGUUGAAAAUAGAGUGAGUAUGUAGUGUAAAAAGAAAUAAAAAUUAUGCAAAAUAUUUAAAAAAGAGAUGAGCAGAUAUAUAUGAAAAAUAAAGAGUAAACAAAUAAAUUGUCCUUUAAAAACACAUGCGUACACAAACUUAUUGAGUUAAUGAUAAUAUGUGGAGUAAUAUUUAAGGAAAUAAAAUAAAAGUUCAUAAAGUUUUUUAUUAUUGCGAUGUUACCUUAGUAUGCGUCAAGAAAGCGUUGUUCUUGAAGAAUGGGACGGUGUCAGCGUGGCGGCGGGCAGCGGGAGCAGCCCCAGGUCGAGGUGGAGGCGAUCAGCGGGACAGCAACGGUCCAAGUUGGAGGCGGUCAGCGGGACAGCAAACGGUCCAAGGUGGAGGCGGUCAGCGGGACAGCGACGGUCCAAGUUGGAUGGCAAUCAGCGUGAGAGCAAUGGUGCAAGGUGGGGUCGAUCAGCGGAACAGCAACGGUCCAAGGUAGAGGCGAUCAGCGGGACAGCAACGGUCCAAGGUGGAGGCAGUCAACAGGACAGCGACGGUCCAAGGUGGAGGCGAUCAGCGGGACAGCAACGGUCCAAGGUGGAAACGGUCAGCGGGACAGCAAUGGUCCAAGGUGGAGUCGAUCAGCGGGACAGCAACGGUCCAAGGUAGAGGCGGUCAGCGGGACAGCAACGGUCCAAGGUGGAGACGGUCAGCGGGACAGCAAUGGUCCAAGGUGGAGUCGAUCAGCGGGACAGCAACGGUCCAAGGUAGAGGCGGUCAGCGGGACAGCAACGGUCCAAGGUGGAGGCGAUCAGCGGGACAGCAACGGUCCAAGGUGGAGACGGUCAGCGGGACAGCAAUGGUCUAAGGUGGAGUCGAUCAGCGGGACAGCAACGGUCCAAGGUGGAGGCGGUCAGCGGGACAGCAACGGUCCAAGUAGAGGUAAUACGAUCACCGGAACAGCCGAUAACGAUUCGAUUCAAUUUCAACACCGCGAGCCUUGCUUCUGGGUAUGCAGACGAUUCUUUGAAUCGUCCCACCAGGGGUACCAAAUUAUGUGUAGGACGCUUCACCUGUGGUAAAAGGACCUGGUGAAUAUCUCCUGUCCUUCACACAAGAGGGGAACCAGCUUCUAUAGUGGUUGAUAUAAUUAGACUCUGAUAUUCUUUGUCGAGUCGAAGCAAGGUGUAAAUCGGUGUUGAAAUGAUUAAAAUACGUGUGAGAUAAUUAGUUUAUUUAACACAAACACUAAUAUUUACAAGUAUCGUACAAAAUAAUUAUUAUUGUUUUUACUACAACAAAAAAACAUACAUAAAUUUGCUAUGUGCAAUUGACAGUAAAGUGAACCGCGAUUUAAGAGUGAAACAUGUGAUUAGUAACAAGUGAGAGAAGAUUCGCGUGAAAAACCGUGUAA